UACGGGGGGGCAAGCGGUUGUUCGGAAUUACUGGCGUAAAUGGGCGUCGUAGGUGGCCAACUAAGUCAGACGUGAAAUCCCUCAGCUUAACUGGGGAACUGCGUCUGAUACUGGAUGGCUUGAGUUUGGGAGAGGGAUGCGGAAUUCCAGGUGUAGCGGUGAAAUGACGUAGAUAUCUGGAGGAACACCGGUGGCGAAGGCGGCAUCCUGGACCAACACUGACACUGAGGAGCGAAAGCCAGGGGAGACAAACGGG
rnacentral:rRNA from 1 species